GCUUUCUGAGAAAAAUAGAAAGUAUGGUCUGCCCAGUGAGAUUUUUAACGGCCGCAAUAUUUGUGCGAAGGUAGCAUAAUCAUUUGUCUUUUAAUUGAUGACUGGAAUGAAUGGCUGGACGGGGAAAUACUGUCUCUUUUAUAUUUAUUUGAAAUUUACUUUCAAGUUAAAAGGCUUGAAUUUUAUAGAGGGACGAGAAGACCCUAUAGAGUUUUAUAAUAGGAUAUUUAAGUUUUUCUUUAACUUAAUGUUUUAUUAUUUAGUUGGGGAGACAUUGUAAUAAAAUCUAUAUACAGGUUUAAUAGACAAUAAGUUUUUUCGAUCCAUAAUUUAUGGUAAUUAGAUUAAAUUACCUUAGGGAUAACAGCGUAAUAUUUUUUUAGAGUUCAAAUCGAUUAAAAUGCUUACGACCUCGAUGUUGGAUUAAAGAACCUAAUUUGGAGAAGAAUCUAUUUUAGGUAGUCUGUUCGACUAUUAAAUCUUUACA
rnacentral:rRNA from 1 species